UAGGGAUUACAGUGUCGGAUGUGAUGAAU
rnacentral:piRNA from 1 species